rnacentral:rRNA from 1 species
UAAUACGAACUGUGCGAACGUUAUUCGGAAUCACUGGGCUUAAAGGGUGCGUAGGCGGCUGCCUAAGUCAGGUGUGAAAUCUCUCGGCUCAACCGGGAAACUGCGCUUGAUACUGGGCGGCUCGAGUGAGGUAGGGGUGUGUGGAACUUCCGGUGGAGCGGUGAAAUGUGUAGAUAUCGGAAGGAACGCCAGCAGCGAAAGCGGCACACUGGGCCUUUUCUGACGCUGAGGCACGAAAGCCAGGGGAGCGAACGGGAUUAGAUACCCCGGUAGUCCUGGCCGUAAACACUGAACACUCGAGGAGGGGGGCUUCGGCCUUCUUUCUCUUAGCGAAAGCGUUAAGUGUUCCGCCUGGGGAGUAUGGUCGCAAGGCUG